AUAUAUAUAUAUAUAUAUAUAUUUAUGUAUGGUGCAAUGCAGUCAUUCAAUACAAAAUUCACUAUGGGACAUGUUAGGGGUGAUAUUAAAUAUUAUGUAUCAUAAAAUUGAGAUAUCACUUAAACACAUAAAAAAAAAAAGGCAUAUCAAAAACUAAUCCUUUGAUUUCACACUUAGCUAUGUUAGCAGUUGUGUUGGUGCAGGUGUGGGAACAACUUAGGCCAAAGAUUAAAAAAAAAACAAGAAACACCCAACCCAUUUCCAUGAGCCCAUUUAAAGUGGUGUGUGACCGGUGAUAUCCUGUUUGCCACUUAUGUACAUAUCCUUUAUGUUUACAUGUCUGACAGUUCUUUCAGACAUUUUUUGCUAGUACAAUUUCAAGAAAAAUUAUCAGGUGUAUUGUAUUUAUUUAUAUUUAUGUGUGUAUAGAUGUGCCAUUUGUCUUUGCCUGUGUGCCUUCUAAAUUGAUGAGUCUUCCUAUUGUAUUUGUUGCUGCUGAAUACAUAUAAAAUAUCAACUUCUGACUAAUUAGCUUGUUAGCGUAAUGAUAAAAGAUAGUAUCGGCUAGUGCUAUUUGUGAUUGAUAAUGACAUUUUGGAAAGUAACCUUGGCUGCAUUAUUAGAUUAUACUAUUUAGGAGCUGCUAUUAUUGGUUAUAAACUUAACAUUUCUAAACCUACUUCUAGUUGAUACAGUUCUUCCAAGUCACACUUGAUGUAAUUCUGAAAGUUAUUUCAAUGAUACUGGUCUAAUAAUAAAUUCAAUAUGAUAUAU